AAACUUAAUACUAUCAUGUCUAAAUUGAUGAUUUUAGAUUGAAUCUGCCCUUCCUAUAUUGUCGAGGCCCAUUAUGAGACUAGAUGCAAAUAAAGAUGCUAUGAUUGGGGUCUUAAAGCAAAGCUUAAGGCAAUCGGAGAAUCUUGGUGCCCAAUGAACAUGAAUUGAAAGACAUGCUUAAAAAGAUGAAGAGAAAAGUGGACGAAGUAGAUCAUGUUGGUAUGUUUUAAGGAGAAUUCAUUUGAACUGGGAAGUGAAACCGA